rnacentral:piRNA from 1 species
UACAUGAGGGAGAUCUUUUUU